rnacentral:snRNA from 1 species
GCACUCUUGUUUCUCUUCAGAUCGUACAAAUCUUUCGCCUUUUACUAAAGAUUUCCGUGGAGAGGAACAAGAGUUAGAUUCAAUUUUUUGAUGCCUGCAGCAGUAGGGCU